rnacentral:rRNA from 1 species
UACAGAGGGUGCGAGCGUUGUCCGGAAUCACUGGGCGUAAAGGGCGCGUAGGUGGUGACCUAAGCGUGCGGUGAAAGCCCGAGGCUCAACCUCGGGUCGGCCGUGCGAACUGGGUCACUGGAGCAGAAUAGAGGCAGGUGGAAUUCCGGGUGUAGCGGUGGAAUGCGUAGAGAUCAGGAAGAACACCGGUGGCGAAAGCGCUCUGCUAGGCCGCAACUGACACUGAGGGACGAAAGCUAGGGGAGCGAAUGGG